GCAGACCCUCAGAGGCUGGGACAAGAGGCCACAUGCUCCAAAGGCCUGGAGCUUCUCCGGGUCCUGCAUAGCCCAGCUCCGCUCCAGGGCCUCUGGUGUCCCGCACCCUCAACGGGACGGCAGGACCCGAUGAGCCUGUGCCAGACAAAAUGAGCAGGUCCGUCAGGAAGAUUCCAAGUGGUGAAACGGAACUAUGCCCAGGGUCAGCGAAGAGCUUUCCUGAUGUUGCUCAAUAGAUUAAGAAACAGACCCCCGAUCUGGACAUAUCCAACGGAAGCCCAAGAGCCAGGGUGUGGGGUGCCAGCAUCCUGCAAACAGUGUGCUGAGGGAUCCGAAAAGACGUCUCUCCUAAAUCCCUGUGCAAAGGAAAUCCUGGUAUCUGGGAACACAUUGGCAAGAAGUUAAAGGAGCAAGAGGCUGUCAAAGGGAAAGAGCAGUUCCUUCACCUCGAGGCCCUCCGCACCGGCCCCAGGGCCCCAGGAGGGCACAUGGCAUCAAGGGACCAGGCUCCGUGUGUGACCAGAGAACUGGCUGGAUUCCCCUCCUCCACUCUCAAGAAUACCACCAGACAUCUCCCCCUCAGCUCAGUGACAAGCUGAGAAGCAGCCAGACCUCCUCAGACCCCAACUACGGACCACAGAAAGCUUGGCCCUCAUCCCCAGAGCUGCCACCGAAGGGACUGACCGCGCCUGGGGAGGAGGACCUCUGACUGCUGUUUUCACCGGAGCACCUCCCGAUGUUCACACUUCGGUAGGAGAAUAAUAGCAGCCUUUGAUUUAAUUACAGAAGAGCUUUGUUCUUCCAGUACAAGAAACCCUCAGCAAUAGGGCCUGGCCAGAAAAUGCACCAACCGCUCUGUCGAGAGCUGAGCGCUGCAGCACUGAGCCACGACUGAAGGGCAGCGUCUCAGGACUCCCCAAUACCACCCACUUUCUGUCCCUCAUUGCUGUGUAAGUGGGGUGAUUCUCUUGGCUCCUGCCCCUGAAAGGUAAGUGGAUCAUGUAGACUGAGCUGGAUCAAGCCUGGGGUGAAAUCUUGAGGUGCAACAGACACCUGGACCCUCAGGGGUCACACUUGGAGAAACUGAGCCGCUACGGGACAUACAGAAAACAACCCAGCAGGUACAGAAUUUUAUGACUUGGUUGAGAACCCUUGCUAAGGAUUCUGGGGCAGUAUGUAAUUUGUCAAUUCAUGUAAAUGGAUGCAUAUAUUGUUAAGCAGUGUAUUUUGCCUAUUAGCUUUGUCCAUAUGUACCCCUUUAUCCCUGGAAAUCCUUAGGAAAAACUUGGUACACUCUGCAGGAAAAUUUCCCUCCUUGGAGUCCAUUUCCUUCUCUGCACUUUGUAUAUAACUCUGAAGGAGAAAGUGGCAAAAAUUUAUUGUUCUUUCACAUUUUUAUCAUUGACCUUACCCAGAACCACUUCUGAAAUGUGAACAGUUCCUCGUGUUAAAGGAGAAUUUGGGUGUAAGAUGAUAUUAAAUACACGCUGGAACCCAGGUUUUCCUAAGUCUCACCAGUGUUUGGAAGAGGUACUCUGAAGGGGAAUUGCUUGAUUUUCAAAGGCUCUUUGCUGCUACCUGCUAGCACAGACACGUGUGUGUGAAGUAGCCUGGGCCAGCAACAGGACAGAGGGACACCCACCCCCAAGCAUCCCCACCCACGCUGCGGCAAUCUAUGGGCUGCUCAGAAGGACUUCACUGCCAACAUUGAGUGCCUGCUAUGUGCCAAGACCCUUGGAUGGAUGUUUCGUGCCCGUCAUCCUUGAUACUCACCUAACACGAUGAGACUGGAUUUAAUCUUGCCGGAUAUUUGAGGAGAAUCAGAGCAGAAACCUGGGGACACAAGCUGCCUGGACUGAGAGUCACGUGUUCACCCACACACCAAUCACUGUGGCUAAGGGUAUCCAGGGAUCUGAUUGGCCAGGCCUGGGCCACAGGCUGCACGUCGGUCGGGAGGAUGCAACCCACCUGCAGCGCCGUGGACAGAGCCAGAAAGCGCUGUACCACAGGAGGACGUGCAGCGUGAGGGGAUGUUGGCAGAAAAAGGAGAAAAAUCCACUCCCGGGUUCGUCACACGGUUGCACGACCACCGCCAGGUUUCCUCAGUUUGAACACGGUGUCAGUCGGGCGGUGGAUAUAGGUAGUUCCCAGCCGGUGGAGCCAUGGGGCUGGGCUGGGAAUUCUGCAGAGUGUGGGACGUGGCCCACCACUAACUGAAUCUCCCGGGAUGCUUGCUAAAAGUCUGGGUUCUUGGGUCCCCCACCCAAGACCUACCCCUCCAGAAACUGGGGCUGGAUUCCAAACAGCAUUUUAAAAUAAGCUCUCAGAAGAUUCUAAUGAACAGAGAAGUUUGAGAACAGCUGAUGCGCUAGGCUGGGUCCUGCGGGUGAUGGAGAGGAGCCCAGGAGAACCACUAGCCUUUACAGCCGCUGCAGGAAAAUCAGGCCACACCCUCGGAUGCCCCUCUACCAGAUAAUGGGUAUGCCAAGGAAAAAAGAGAGAAUCCCAGAGCUGUUUAUGGAGCCUUCACUUUAACCACCUGACUCAGCUAAGUCUAUACCUAAACACUUGAGGACAGCAGGUUUUGAUCUGAUUAGUUGACCUGUCUGGCAGAAUUAAGCCAUCAGUAUAGUUACCAUGCCUCUUUAGUGAUCUCAUCCUCCUGCCAUUCAAAAAGUAGGAACUGAGCACCCAGAUCCUGUGGUAGGGUUUGCAAAGAUGUAGAAGUCGUGGUCUCUGCCCUCAAAGAUCCUGUAUUUUGGACAAAGCCAGAUAUUCAGAUGGUAUUACGAACACAGUGUUCAUUUGAUCAGUUACUUCAGUUCUCUGGGGUUCAGGUUACUCAUCUGGGAACUGGGACAUCCCAUCUUCUAGCACCAAUAUUCUGCGUGCUUCCACAAUCCCACCCCUCUGCCUCACACUGUCCCUCUCCUCCCCAAAACAAACCCCGUCCUCCAAAUGCACACUUACAUAGUCACUAUGAUCGAUAGAUUUUAUCCUGAUGCCCACUUCUCAAGCACUGCCAUUUGUACACUAGCUCACUUAUUUCUUACAACGCUAUUGAGAUUGUUAUUUUAAUCCCCACUUUCUAGAUAGUGACAUGGAGACUCAAGGAGGGUUUUGCCAAAGGUCCUAAAAAAUGGGAUCAAGGCUGAGCCCAGGUCAGUGGGGCCCUCAAGUGUGUGCCCUUCCAUUGAUUGCCACAGCCAGCCUCAGCUUCCUUUCCUGUCCCCUGCCUGUCUUCUGCAGGGACUCCCCUAUCCUUCCCCUUGCAUUUUCUAAAUCUUGUCCAUCUAUCAAGGGCCAGCUGGAAACCCUCUGACAUCUGCCAGUGCUCCCAGGAUGCGAUGUCUCUGAGGACCUGAACCACCGCCUUUUAUGGACUGCGCACAAGCACACCUGGACCAUCUGAGCACGUCUUGCCCCCAAGAAGGACACUUGGCUGAGGAGUAAAGUAGUGAGAGUUGUGCCUCCCUCACUGCCCUCAGACCUGCUGUGAACAUUAUUUUUAAAGCCAACAGUGAAGCCCUGCCCUGCCACCGGACCACCUUGCCCUUCGUACACGCAGAUGCCGCUGCUCCGGGCCAGCCUGCCUCCCUCCCCGCAGGCUUGGCGAAGGAAGCCACUGGGAGGACUGCGAGCCUGGUCUCCGUGGACCCUCCAUGCGCCGCCACGUUCCAGAGCGCAGUGCUGAAAGGGACGCAAACGGAGGAUUCUGCAAAAUUCUGCCCAGCAAGCUGUGAAGCCAGCAGAGUUUACUCUCUCAGCCAGCUAGGAAGGUAAAGACCCAAUUUGUUCCAGUCGACAAACAUCUGGAAGCAGAAUGAGCCAUCUGCCAGGCCAAAGGCCACCCCCAAGCCGUAUUUCUAAUGGUUCCUUGUCUGUGCUGUUUUUGCACACGCUCUCUGAAGCCAGGCCAGGUGGUGAUUACUGACACUCCGUGCUUUAUAAUUCUGUUAGCUCACAGGGAAAAAAAGGAGAGCUUCCCAGUUCAUUUCUUGGAGUCAGUGUAACCCUGGUACCAACUCCUGCAAAUACCUUGUCUCCCUUGGUCUGUCCACACACACAAGACCAUCAUUUAUACUAGUGCACAAAUUCUAAAUAAAAUACUAGCAAAAGGAUAUGGAGCAACAGGCAAAAUUGGUGCAAAGGGAUCUCAAGCUAAGGCCCCAUGUACAACCCCUUCCUUUUGCAGUGCACCCCAUGCCCUCGUUGGCUAAAGGUCUAGGGUGGGGAGAUCCUGCCAUUAUUAACCUUAAGAGGGGAUGGACCGGCCUGCUGGGCUUGUGGGGGAUGAGCAAGGACAGAGAACUGAGAAUGAGGGAAGGAAGCCUCUCCAGGGACAGACGGCCUCCACGGUUCACCCUCUGUCCAUGUGCUGGGCCACAUGAACACCACUGCCUGCCUCCCCUCCCCACCCCUGUCCAAGGCUGGGAGGGGGAGAGAAGUCCCGUAGGUACAUGAAGAUCUAAUCCAAACAGAAACACAACCCACUGUUCUGGUUGAGGAGCCUCCAUACCAGGACACAGCAGUUCUUCCCAAAUUAAUUUCUAAAGGUGUUGACUGACAGCAGCCCAAACGAGGAGGGGUGGUAGCGGAUGGCGGCAGUGGUGGUACCGGACCUUGGCAAAAAUGAGACUUAAAGACAAGGUUCUCAAGUUCAGCUGGACGACACUUGAAAAAUAAGAGUAGAGACUUACGCUAUCUUAUAUGACAAUGUGUAGUUUUAAGAUUGUAAUCGUAGUUACGCAGUGUUAGCAGUCAGAAGCAGGGGGAAGACCCAAGAUCCACAGGGGAGGAGACAGCCAGGCGAAGACAGAGGCCCCAGAGCGCCUGCAGCCGCCAACGGCUGGAAGAGGUACUUACGGACCCUGCACCUGCCCCUCCGAGCCACUUGAUCUGACUCAGGCCCCUGGACACCUGGCGGGACUGCCACGUGGGGCCCGGCUCACCCUUAGGAGAAACCAGUUCUGCUAUUUAAUAAACACUGAGUUAGCCUAAGACGCUGCAUUGGAGACAAAUGUGGUAUAAAUUAUAUCAGUUUUAUCCCUGGGUAAAAUGCCUAGAAUUGUUCCUCUUAGUCACUCAGGGGCCAGACCACAAACAGAAGGCCCGGCUUUCUUCUGACUAGUAUUUCUCAGGUGUGAUCACCGUGCUGCCUGAAAGCCUGAAGUGCAGAAUCCAGAGCCCACGCCCAGAUUUUCUGAACCGGAAUCUCACGGAGGGGGCCCGGGAAUGUAUGGUUUGGGAAAUUUCCUCAUUUGGUUUUUACUCACACUCGAGAUUGAAAACUGGUGCACCAACGUGCGUGUGACCUCCCUUUCUGCUCUAACGCACUUGGCCUAGAUUGUAUUCUUGACUCUGUUACUGCCAAUUGACUGAGCUUCCAACAUCCCAUCUUUAAGAGGGAGAAAAAAUCUCCUCCGCUGCUGGGUGUUGGGCUAACAUUCUCGAAUCCUGAGAUCGGAAGGACUCAAUACCACAGCACUGUUGUUUACCAAUCAACCUUCAUCUGUGCCGGGCCCGCCCCGGCAUUUUCCUUCGGUGCUGCAGGAAAAUGCACCAGGCGGGAAGGGCCCAGAUGCCGCGGAGAUCACCGCUUCCCUCUCUCCCCACGUGCAGGGGCAGGUGAAAAUGAGGAGCUGCAAAGGCUGAUACCUUUCUUCCCCAUUUUGCAAUACUCUAAAUCAGAUCGCAGACGGCCCCCAGGCCCAACGGAGCCCCGGGUGUCUGGAGCUGUUCAGUCACUGGAGGCCCCACAGCCAGGCUCUGAAACCAGUUACUGGUGGACAGAGCCAGUCCCCGUCCCCACCACUCAGGGGCCGCCGUGCAAGCAAGUAACAUGGCUGGGUGCUUGCUCAGUCCAUGGUACAGGUGCUGCCAACUUACCAUGGCUCAAUUUAAGAUUUUUCCACUUUAGGGUGGUGCAAAAGCCACAUGUAUUUAAUACAAAUCAUACUUGGAAAUUUUGAAUUUGGAUCUUUCCCCGGGCAGGGCUAUCCUCUGUCGUGAUGCCUGGUGGCAGCAGUGAGCAGCAGCUUCCAGACAGCCACACGAUCUUUUCUGGGAGGCUUGAGGAAACUCAUUUCAAGAUUUUUAUGUUUAUGCGAAAAACUUUACUCCUGUCAUAUACACAAGCAAGCCCAGUUGCCAUCUGCACUUUACUGAAGGUGAUUCAGACCAAGAGUGAAUUAAGUACCUACUCGAGGCCUUUGCGACCCUCCCUCCUUCCGUCGGCAGUUAGCGCUAGAAUCCUACACCCUCAGAGAAAGGGACCUCAGGAGCUGCUGGGCCCAAUCUCCCCAAAUUCCAGAUGGAGAAAAAGAGCUUUGGCUUUUGUCAUUAUUCCUUGUCAUGAGAUGCAACAAAUUAGUCCCUUUCUGUCAAAGACUUCACCCCCAUAUGCUAUCACGGCGGCCCCUAAACAAUUAUGUCUAGGUCAUCUAAAGAAUAUUAUUGGUAGCUUACGCCCAGGGAAGAAUCUCCCUAGGAGGCCAGGGGGGAUUUUGGCCAACGCUCCCCUACCCUUCAGCUGUGUUGGAGGCAGGAGAAUGGGGGCUGCCCCUGGGUUCCCCUGAGGAGCAGGAGGAAGAGGGUGUGUCCCGGAAGCCCUCUGCCCAGCCGGGCUGGCUGUGGUGUAGGGGAAGGGACGCUGUGGGGUCUGCCCUGGGGGGAGGGUGGCUUUCUCAGCCCCCCAGGGCAGACUGGAGGCGUCCUUGACUCCGAAUGGGGGCUCAGGACCCAGCCUGUAGGCCGGAGUGCCAUCCCGUAGGAAUACACAGCUCUUCCCCUCUGUCUGUCUCCUCCAGCUCCAUCUAGAAUUGUGAGAAAGAGCAGGAGACAUGGGGUGAGCCCCCAGCGGGUGCCUCAGAGGGAGGCUUCGGUGGGAGUGACUGCCUUUGCACUCCACUUUGGGGCCCUGCGCCGUGGUCCUGGCACCCGCCACCGGGCAGGAAUGCACCAGGCUUCAAAGGAGGCCCUAAAGCAGAGUGUUAAGCAGAUUGACGGAAGCUACUAAAGAACUCAGCCUGGAGCAAUCAGCAACUUUCCUCAGACUGCUGAGAGCCCAGCAAGCAGAGAAGGGAUGAAAGUCUCCACUAACCCGGAGGGAAACAGAAACACCCAAGAGUGGAUUCUAUAGACAGUAAUAUGACCCAGUUCAUAGAAAAAUUAUAUUACCAUUUGAAGUCAUUGAAGCUGUUUCCAGCUGUGUCGGGAGAGAGACUGCUGCCCCCAGGGAAGAAUGACCUAAUAUGGUAAAAGUGAAUGUAAUAUCAAACAUGUUAUCCUGGAACAAAAUAAAUAGAAUAA